AAGCAACCUCAAGGCACAGAAACAUUAAACUUUGGAUUGGGUGGGGUGCGCCAGGCCCCAGCAAUAGUGCAACGCUAGGGCGACGCUCGAGAGUCCCAGUAGCAAGCUACUGUGGUGGACCCUCCCCCU